AGAGUUGAUCAUGGCUCAGGAUGAACGCUGGCGGCGUGCCUAACACAUGCAAGUCGAGCGGAGAUAUGAGAGAUUCUUUAGAUGAUCUUCUUAUCUUAGCGGCGGAUGGGUGAGUAACACGUGGGUAACCUGCCCUGCACAGGGGGAUAACAGCUGGAAACGGCUGUUAAUACCGCAUAUGCACACGCUGCCGCAUGGCAGGGGGUGGAAAGAUUUAUCGGUGCAGGAUGGGCCCGCGUCGGAUUAACUAGUUGGCAGGGUAACGGCCUACCAAGGUGAUGAUCCGUAGCCGACCUGAGAGGGUGACCGGCCACAUUGGGACUGAGACACGGCCCAAACUCCUACGGGAGGCAGCAGGUGGGGGAUAUUGCACAAUGGGCGCAAGCCCUGAUGCAGCGACGCCGCGUGAAGGAAGAAGUUAUUUCGGUAUAGUAAACUUCUAUCAGCGGGAAGAAGAUGACGGUACCCGACUAAGAACGCCCCGGCUAACUACGUGCCAGCCGCCGC
rnacentral:rRNA from 1 species